CACGAAGUUAGCCGGGGCUUCUUCUCCGGGUACCGUCAUUAUCGUCCCCGGUGAAAGAGCUUUACAAUCCUAAGACCUUCAUCACUCACGCGGCAUGGCUGGAUCAGGCUUGCGCCCAUUGUCCAAUAUUCCCCACUGCUGCCUCCCGUAGGAGUUUGGACCGUGUCUCAGUCCCAAUGUGGCUGAUCAUCCUCUUAGACCAGCUAUGGAUCGUCGCCUUGGUAGGCCUUUACCCCACCAACUAGCUAAUCCAACGCGGGCUCAUCCUUUGGCGAUAAAUCUUUCGCUCUCAAGCCACAUACGGUAUUAAUUCCAGUUUCCCGGAGCUAUCCCGUACCAAAGGGUAGAUUCCCACGCGUUACUCACCCGUCUGCCACUCCCCUUGCGGGCGUUCGACUUGCAUGUGUUAAGCCUGCCGCCAGCGUUCGUUCUGAGCCAGGAUCAAACUCU
rnacentral:rRNA from 1 species